rnacentral:rRNA from 1 species
CUUGAACGCUGGCGGCAUGCUUUACACAUGCAAGUCGAACGGUAACAGGCCGCAAGGUGCUGACGAGUGGCGAACGGGUGAGUAAUGCAUCGGAACGUGCCCAGUCGUGGGGGAUAACGCAGCGAAAGCUGCGCUAAUACCGCAUACGAUCUAUGGAUGAAAGCGGGGGACCGUAAUGCUGCGCGCGAUUGGAGCGGCCCAUGGCAGAUUAGGUCGUUGGUGGGGUAAAGGCUCACCAAGCCAACGAUCUGUAGCUGGUCGGAGAGGACGACCAGCCACACUGGGACGGAGACACGGCCCAGACUCCUACGGGAGGCAGCAGUGGGGAAUUUUGGACAAUGGGCGCAAGCCUGAUCCAGCAAUGCCGCGUGCAGGAAGAAGGCCUUCGGGUUGUAAACUGCUUUUGUACGGAACGAAACGGCUCUCACUAAUACUGGGGGCUAAUGACGGUACCGUAAGAAUAAGCACCGGCUAACUACGUGCCAGCAGCCGCCGCAGUAA